AAUUCGCCCUUGAGCACGUAGGUGGGUUUGUAAGUCAGAUGUGAAAGCCUUCUGUUCAACGGAAGAAUUGCAUCUGAAACUACAAGUCUUGAGUGUAGGAGGGGAGAAUGGAACUUCUGGUGGAGCGGUGAAAUCCGUAGAUAUCAGAAGGAACGCCGGCGGCGAAAGCGAUUCUCUGGCCUAUUACUGACACUCAGUGUGCGAAAGCUAGGGGAGCAAACGGGAUUAGAUACCCCGGUAGUCCUAGCCGUAAACGAUGGGCACUAAGUAGAGGGGAUUACCGACGUUCUCUCUGCCGUAGCUAACGCAUUAAGUGCCCCGCCUGGGGAGUACGGCCGCAAGGCUAAAACUCAAAAGAAUUGACGGGGGCUCGCACAAGCGGUGGAGCAUGUGGCUUAAUUCGAUGCAACGCGAAAAACCUUACCGGGGCUUGACAUGUUAGAAGUAGGAACCCGAAAGGGUAACGAACGGUAUCCAGUCCGUGACUAUCACAGGUGUUGCAUGGCUGUCGUCAGCUCGUGUCGUGAGACGUUGGGUUAAGUCCCCUAACGAGCGAAACCCUUGUUUUUAGUUACCAGCGGGUUAUGCCGGGUACUCUAGAAAGACUGCCGUCGUCAAGACGGAGGAAGGUGGGGAUGACGUCAAGUCAUCAUGGCCCUUAUGCCCCGGGCUGCACACGCGCUACAAUGGUCGGUACAAACGGAAGCGAAGCCGAGAGGUGAAGCGAAUCCAAGGGCGAAUU
rnacentral:rRNA from 1 species